GUCUAUUUUUCAAAGGAAAAGCAUCUUUUGCAAAAAUCAAUAGUGCAUUCAAGAGAAAGCAAGUCCAAGUGUUCUUCAUCAAGUUGCUUAAUUCAAAUUCCAAAAGAAGGUGGUUGAGCAUUCUUCAAGUGCAUUCAAGAGCUCUACCAACCCCUUGAGAAGUGAAGUAACAUUAGAAAAGAAGAGAAGAGCAUCUUCAAAGCAGUAAUUAUUUCUUAUCUCUUGUUUUAGUGCAUACUUGUUAUAUUUGNNNNNNNNNNNNNNNNNNNNCAAGUUGCUUAAUUCAAAUUCCAAAAGAAGGUGGUUGAGCAUUCUUCAAGUGCAUUCAAGAGCUCUACCAACCCCCUUGAGAAGUGAAGUAACAUUAGAAAAGAAGAGAAGAGCAUCUUCAAAGCAGUAAUUAUUUCUUAUCUCUUGUUUUAGUGCAUACUUGUUAUAUUUGCUCAUUUAGGAGCUACAAACUCUUUUCUUUCAAUUCCUUGUAAGGUUUGUUGGUGAGCCCGUAAAACCAACCGUGUAGGUCGUUGGUGAGCCCGCAAAACCAACAUAGGUUAUUGGUGAUCCCGGAAAACCAAAUUAUAAAGGUUUUUGGAUUGUGAGCCCGGAAAACAAUCCAACUGUAAUCCGUGGGAUUAUAGUGAAUUCCCAAGGGGAUGCUUGGGGAGUGGACGUACGUGCUUAGGAGAGCACCGAACCACUAUACUUCUUGUGUGUUUGCAUUGUGUGAUUUUUAAUUCCACUGCACAUAUAUAAUUAACACAAGCUAAACUACUCAUACAUCUAUCAACUUAAUUAAGGCCUUAAAGAUUUAGAAAACCCAGUUCACCCCUCCCUUUCGGGUUGUCACGGGGCAACAGUUCUUGUUACAAGACGAAGGCUUCUGCUCAUUUUCCAGUUGUGCAAUUAGUGUGACUAUGUAUCUGCUUUUUCCCUUGUCCUCUUUCCUUCUGUUAUCAGUUCCAAAGUGUGCACCUUUCAUUCAAUCUGAUCUUUGAGUUUAGUUCCUUCUGGGCUGCCAAUGCUUCAUAUUUUCUCAAUUUCCUCAUAAGUAACUCCAAGCAAUUGUUUCCUACUUUACUCAAAAAUAA
rnacentral:lncRNA from 1 species